rnacentral:rRNA from 1 species
CCUACGGGAGGCUGCAGUGGGGAAUAUUGGACAAUGGGGGCAACCCUGAUCCAGCCAUGCCGCGUGUGUGAAGAAGGCCCUCGGGUUGUAAAGCACUUUCAGUGAGGAAGAACGCCUGGUGGUUAAUACCCAUCAGGAAAGACAUCACUCACAGAAGAAGCACCGGCUAACUCCGUGCCAGCAGCCGCGGUAAUACGGAGGGUGCGAGCGUUAAUCGGAAUUACUGGGCGUAAAGCGCGCGUAGGUGGCUUGAUAAGCCGGUUGUGAAAGCCCCGGGCUCAACCUGGGAACGGCAUCCGGAACUGUCAAGCUAGAGUGCAGGAGAGGAAGGUAGAAUUCCCGGUGUAGCGGUGAAAUGCGUAGAGAUCGGGAGGAAUACCAGUGGCGAAGGCGGCCUUCUGGACUGACACUGACACUGAGGUGCGAAAGCGUGGGUAGCAAACAGGAUUAGAUACCCCAGUAGUU